CCAGUAAUUUGUUACGAAUGUAUAUUUGUUAAUGAAAGUUUUGUGUUUUUUAUUGAAAUUUUGGAUUUUUAUUUGCAAUUUUUUAUAUUCUAACAGACGAUCAUUAAAUAUGAAAGAUAAACAAGUAGAAAAGAGUAUAGUAAUACAUAAUACUCUCCUCAUAUGUAAUACUCUCCUUAAACGUAAAUCAAAAACCGGAUAUGAUGAUUAAAUGUUGUAUCGGCAUGGUUUUAUCUGUCUACUUUGCUUUUUCAAUUUGGUUGCCAGCUUCAACCCAAUUCUUGAUUUAGAACUAUGAUUUUGAACUAAAACAUUUCCGAGUUGAAUAAAAUACUAUUUAUUCUUAACUGUAUUUUUUUUGAGGCUUCAGUUAUCAAAUGUUGGUGGUAAUUUUAGUUAUGCCACUGUGAAAGCGUUGAUUGUUAAGAAGACAUAAAAAGUUUAAAGUAUGCACAAAGCCUGAAAGUGUCAAAUAUGGAACCUAAAAAAACCUGCCUUUGCCACUAACUGUAUAAAGGUUUUUUAAGGUCUGUUUGUCAAGCGUCAAGUCAGGUUAUCUUGCUACUGGUACCAUAUAGUACAUCCUGCUUAAGCAGGUUGUACGCCAUCCAUACGACGUUUGGGCAUCUGUUUGUAAAAUAUUGCUGCAAAUCUUUUUGAGAGAGCCAUUACUAUGGAGAACCAUCUAAACCAUACAAGUGUGGAAAUAUGGAUAUUAAUGUGAAAUAAACUGAUGAGUUUAUUUAACUUAGCUGGUAAAAAAAAAAAGUUUUUGUGAAACAAAUUUAAUGAAGACAAUUAUAGGUAUACCUGUUAAUGUAAUAUAUUUUGUAUUGUAUUUUGUAUGCUUAGUUUUGACGAAUUUUUAAAUACUGCAAACUCACACUCGCACAAAAAUCAACUGUGAACUCUUAUUUAAUCAGUUUCAAAAGUUGACUUUGAAAAUUUUGUAUAAGAUAUUAUAGCUUAUUUAUUAGACUGUGUUUUUAGAAUGAAGUUCAUUCAUUUGCUGGCAACAUUUUUAAACGUGGUCCAGAUCGAAAUAAUUUGGUGCUAGAAAUUGUCGAUAGUGGAAGUGAUAGAUGCAUCGAACCUAAUUUGUAAUUAAUUUCAGUAAAUAAAUUUCACUUUACUAA